CAGCAGCCGCGGUAAAACGUAGGUCCCGAGCGUUGUCCGGAUUUAUUGGGCGUAAAGCGAGCGCAGGCGGUUAGAUAAGUCUGAAGUUAAAGGCUGUGGCUUAACCAUAGUACGCUUUGGAAACUGUUUAACUUGAGUGCAAGAGGGGAGAGUGGAAUUCCAUGUGUAGCGGUGAAAUGCGUAGAUAUAUGGAGGAACACCGGUGGCGAAAGCGGCUCUCUGGCUUGUAACUGACGCUGAGGCUCGAAAGCGUGGGGAGCAAACAGGAUUAGAUACCCCCGUAGUCCCUGUCUCUUAUACC
rnacentral:rRNA from 1 species